ensembl:lncRNA
UUAACAACGACCUUUAAACCACCAACGUGGUACAAAUACAAAGAAAAUACAUCUCAACCCACAUUAACUAUGGGCGCAGCCAUCUUCUUUGCGAGUUGUAUAGCUCUGCUCGCUCUACUUUGAAAGCGACAAGAUAUUACGACCAAAAGGGGCGUGCCUCAGUGAAAUGCCGCAAGAAAGCUGGGAGAUCUGCGACUUUACCACUUCGUACUGUGGUAACCCGGCCCGGGCCAAUUAAGGACAUGGAGAGCACCUGUGGAACAGGUGGAGAAGCAGGGCUUGAAUAGCCUGCUUCUCCACUUAUUCGGGGCUCUCCCAGCCAUGUCGCUCCUUAAGGAGAGACCGGUCCUCAUGGGUGACGGGAUUCCACCCACGAAGGAGGGGACCGCUGAUUCCUCCCAGGUUUUUCGUUCUUUUGUGUUUUCGGAGACUUUGUGUUAUGUUUAGGAUUAAACAUGCCUUUUUGUUUUUUUUCCCCUCGAAGUUGUGUCCUGUUUGGGAGGAGGUGGUUUGCUCAUCGUGCCAGGUUGCCACAGUACAUCCAAAUGGAUAGCAGUUUUGAGCGCAAAAAAGCUGUUUCACGCACUGGCUUGGAUUUAAAUAAUAAUUUUUCAUGUCAAGAGUGUGACCGUUUAUUGUUCAAUUGUUCAGUUAAAGGCUGUAGAGAAAACACAAUGAGAAAGACUACGUGUCUCGUAUGUGACGCUACACUCCCUGCGACUGGCAUGGACAAGACUGACAAUCUCCCCAUCGGCAUAACUGAAACUCUCCACAUGCCCCGACUUAUAAUGGAUUAACCUCUUUCGAUGCUGUUAUCCUCCCCUUGGAAAAAAGUGGUGAAGUGGAGUAGAGGGAUCGCCAUGUCUGUACCAUAGACCUAUUAAAGAAGGUCUGUACCAGAGUGGUGGUGACAUCAUUCACAUUGAGAGCAGCGAACAGCUGUAGUUCACAAAGCGGCCUCACACAAAACCUAACAUUAUCAAAUUUCUUCGAGAUAAAUUGUAGUUUUCUUUGCGUGAAAACUUAUCAUUUAAAUCCACAAACAACAUAUGGGUAAUCCGGGCCGUAUAAAGACUGGGAGCAGACAAUAAUUACUUUCUCUGCAUUGAUACCCAUUCAUAUUUUACAAUCUCCUAGUUCCCAUGGGGUCUACCGGAAGGGGCGGGACUUCCCGGCGCAUAUCUGCGAAAUGCAACGCUUCUAAAUGGCUGAGAGAUGCAGGGCGGGAGCAGAGGGAGAAUCUACCUUACCUACAGCCGUGGCUGGAGUGGGACCCACUUUCAGCCUCGGAGUUACAUGAUGCAGAUAGGCCCAGCCCAAUUGGGGGGAGCGGAACAGGGGGAGGGCUUUUGCUAUGUUCAAGCAAAUGAACUGAUUUAUGAAACCCUGUAAUGGACCCAAUUGAAAAAUCAACUUAAGAACCCAUUGUUGUUUCUCAAAAAAAAGGGAAGUGAAAAAGUGAACUCUGGUGCCUACAUUUGUCCUGUAAUUACCUGCAAUAUUACAACUUGCUCCUAGAAACUGCAUCCUAUCCUUUGUUGCACUCUUUGCAGUGUGCACACCAGUAGCUGUGUUUCCUCUGCUACCUCCUAGCCCUGUCUCAGCAUCACUGGGCUGACUCAGUUCCAUGGCUGCAAAAAUGAAAGCAUUCUGUGUCUGCAUACAUGCUACCCACAUACAACAUUUGUACUGAUAAAUCAUGCUGAUACUGAUGGUUAACUGCUUUUUCUAAAAACAGACAAUUAUCAACCUCCUCAUUGCCUACUCCCAAUUAUUGGUAAUAGUGCGAUGGCUAAGCUGGCCAGAUAGUGAUAAAAUAAAAAAAGCUUUGUUUGAAAUGUGACAUAAUCAUUACACUCUGCAUGUUGGCAACUAAUGCUAAAUUCCAAGCUCCCUCCUUAACUCCUAGAAUUUCUCACUCCUUUUCGGAUAGGUUUACAUUAAUGUUUAUUUUUAUUUAUUUUUGCUUUUUAUUUUUACUCUUACUAUUAUUAUUUUUGUUUUUGUUAUUCAUUCUUGAAUGGCUUUAUUGUUGUAAUUGGCAAAAUUUGUUGUUUUUGUUUUGUCUACAUAUUCAAAAUAAACAUGAAAGAAAGAACUCCUAGAAUUUCACCUG